CUCGAUGGGUAAUGGAAAACUAAGAAAGUGCAAUCAUAACACAGCUUAAAAAAUGAGCACAUAACAUGGCAUUCUUGGGCUAUGCUGUUUACAGAAAAGUCAAAGAUCCAUAUUGUAAUCAAGUGCUUGACUUGAACCCAUACCCACAGUGAUUGGAACUAUAGUUCUAUCAACCUCCAUUCCAGUGACUAUGGAAACAUUUCGGGCUGAGAAAAUGCCCUUGUUAAAGGUAGCCCCAAAAGAGCCAGCAGUUAGGUUGAAGUGCUCAUUGUAGUGAGCCUGUGGCAUGAAGGUCCUCCCCAAUAAACAUCAGCCUGCAAACAGAAUCACUAGUGCUUAGCAACAGUGUCAUAGUGCCACUGGAAUGGUGGUAGAAGGAUCCCUUCACCCCUAGACUACCAUGGAAGAUUGGAACCCAGGAAUCUGCAGAGAGAACAUAAGAUUUCUAUCUAGAAAAAGGGAGCAAAAGAGAAAGGAAGGGAGUGGAUAGGGCAGGACUCUGUAGUUCAGGGGCCUGCAGUCUCUGCACCAGGACACCAGGAGACCUGACUCAGAGAAGAGACUAGAAACCAACAGAAAGAAACUAAAGAGCUGUCUGAUACAUAUACAGAUACACACUUGUACAUGUGUAUCCCAAUUUAAAGCUAUACAGAAAAUUAACUGAGGAACGGACUAUGGGGUCGUUGAUCGAUCUUCCUUCUCAUCAAACUUGCAUCCCACCAACUUCGGGCCUGCUGCAGCUAAUUAUUCUUGAUUCUCCCAACCAAGAACACUCAUAA
rnacentral:lncRNA from 1 species